rnacentral:misc_RNA from 1 species
UGAACAAUACUUGUAAAGGUCACUCUGCCACGAGAAAUUUAUUAUUAUAACGUAUCGCUCUCGGUUGCAAAAUACGAGAUUCUUAACCGCCAAGUGCAUUUACUAGCCUAGCAAUAUGAGUAAACCGGGCAGUGCUCCUCCGCAGUUCACCUAUGUGCCGCCCCCUUCGGCCCCGCCCUCUUACCAGGAGGCGGUGGGCGGGGUGAAGCCCGUGGGUCCAUAUACGCCCGUGGUGGCGCCCGCAACCAACGCAAAUACCACGAUUGUGACCACGGUUGUGCCCAUUAGUCGCACCUCGACGCACAUGAUCUGUCCAUCGUGCCAUGCCGAGAUCGAGACGACCACACGCACCGAGCCCGGAAUGAUUGCCUACUUGUCCGGAUUUUUGAUUGCCCUGUUCGGAUGCUGGCUGGGAUGCUGCCUAAUACCUUGCUGCAUCGACGACUGCAUGGAUGUCCAUCACUCGUGCCCCAACUGCCGCGCAUAUUUGGGGCGAUACCGUCGAUAGGAUCGAUUGAAUGAAUGAGCAGGUCCAGCGGUUCCGUGGUGUAGAUUGAUUACUUUAACGAAGGCAGAUGGAAAGAGCCAAGGCUUCCCUUAAUCUAACGCUAACUCGCUAAAUUGCUCCGCCGUUUUAUAUUUUGGUUCGCCCAAUCCAUAAUUGUUACGUGUAUGUUUCUGCCACGCUAAAGAUAGUAAUACGUAUACAUUCAAAUAUCCAGCGCUUCGCAGACAGGACAGCCACUACAGAAACUUAAAUAAUAAAUCCGUCUUUCUACGUACCCACAUAUGUACUAGCCUGAUUACGAGCACAAAAGUCGCUUGCGUGUCCAUUUUGAGCAACAGGCCCUUAAAUAUUUGCACAAAUUGUAAAUCUGUUGAAGCCCAUCUUAUGUUUUUUGCACAUUGUUUGAUGAAUAAAUGGCUUAGAAUGUAGUCCAAAAGACAAAAUACAACAUAUUUUUGUAACAAAUUGUAAAUGUCUUUAGCAAAAGUGCAUAUUGUAUACUGUGAAAGUUAAUCUCCCUAAUAAUUAAUCACGAAAUC